rnacentral:rRNA from 1 species
CACGUAGGGUGCGAGCGUUGUCCGGAAUUAUUGGGCGUAAAGAGCUCGUAGGCGGUGUGUCACGUCGGCCGUGAAAACCUGCAGCUUAACUGUGGGCGUGCGGUCGAUACGGGCAUCACUGGAGUUCGGCAGGGGGAGACUGGAAUUCCUGGUGUAGCGGUGAAAUGCGCAGAUAUCAGGAGGAACACCGGUGGCGAAGGCGGGGUCUCUGGGGCCGAUACUGACGCUGAGGAGCGAAAAGCGUGGGGGAG